rnacentral:rRNA from 1 species
UAGGGAAUCUUCGGCAAUGGGGGGAACCCUGACCGAGCAACGCCGCGUGAGUGAAGAAGGUUUUCUGAUCGUAAAGCUCUGUUGUUAAGGAAGAACGAGUGUGAGAAUGGAAAGUUCAUGCUGUGACGGUACUUAACCAGAAAGGGACGGCUAACUACGUGCCAGCAGCCGCGGUAAUACGUAGGUCCCGAGCGUUGUCCGGAUUUACUGGGCGUAAAGCGAGCGCAGGCGGUUAGAAAAGUCUGAAGUGAAAGGCAGUGGCUCAACCAUUGUAGGCUUUGGAAACUGUUUAACUUGAGUGCAGAAGGGGAGAGUGGAAUUCCAUGUGGAGCGGUGAAAUGCGUAGAUAUAUGGAGGAACACCGGUGGCGAAAGCGGCUCUCUGGUCUGUAACUGACGCUGAGGCUCGAAAGCGUGGGGAGCGAACAGG